rnacentral:misc_RNA from 1 species
CUGCGAUUUCACGAGACCCAUUACAGCUACGGUAAUUGGUGCCAUGGCUACAUUAUUGUCUAUCGUUAAACAAUUCGAUAUUAAAGACGAAGCGUUUUUAGAGCACAGUAUAAAACCAUAAAUAACAUCUUCUUUUUAAGACAGCUUCUUCGCAGUAAAUAAAAUUACGCGGUACAUAAAAAACGUAAGUUCUUUAGUUACACAGCAAUAUUUUAUUUUAAAAAUUAAAGAUAAAUAAAAGUAAUUUUUAUCUUCUAUUAUGAAAGAAGGUCUAAUAGUUUAAUCGGA